AACCAUAGAAACCUGCGGAGUACCUGCGGAAGGAUCAUUAUCGAGUUGCAAAACUCCAACCCUUUGUGAACAUACCUCAGUCGUUGCUUCGGCGGUGGACGGCCUUUUUUCGAAAAGGCCCGAAGCCGCCGGAGGUUCCAAACUCGUGUUUUGUUUAGUGUAUCUCUGAGCCUGAAAACAAAUAAUCAAAACUUUCAGCAACGGAUCU
rnacentral:misc_RNA from 1 species